AAAGACUUUACGAGCUUAAGGGAAUCCCCUAAAUAUGUAGACAAGACAUACAGCUGACAUUAAAACAUCAGUGCUUUUCUACUGCGGAAAACCUGCUAUGGUCACAAUGGACUACCAGAUUGUAGCAAACAAUCUAAGCAGCGACUUUCGCCUAUCUUACUACCCACAUUCUCUCAAGGAUUUUACUAAGAUGUUGAGAGAAAUUUUUGGAGAAAAAUCAAAGCACAAAUUAUAUGGCGACUUCAAAGAAAUAGAUGUUGAGAAGAGACAAGCAUUUUACAUACAUUUUAUUGAGAAACAGUAACUGACUGUAAAAUAAUGUAUUGAAAUAUAUAUUUUGAGUUUAAAUAAUACAUAAUUUUACUCUAAUAUGGAAAGGCUCUCCAACUAAUUUUCCUUCAAAAACGAGCUUUAUACAAACGUGUUGCCGCGACCGCAAACUGUAUGUACAAAAAUCUCAAGAAAUAAAAUAAAGCAAGCAA